UGUAAAGCGAGACCCCAGUUGUUGAGAGCCUGAAAUGUAACACAACGUAUUAAUGUACACGAAGCUAUGAUGCAUAGCUAAAUCAUUUCAUAGUUACCUGGGGACUGUUCCAACUUAGUUGAAGAGCUUUUUCGUAAUUCUUUGUUGCCUGCAAGAUUAAGAGAUGAAGCGUAAUGAUUGUUGGUACUUUGCGUCCCGGAUCAAUGGUGGGAUGGUUAUGGAUAUCGUUUGAGUGAAUGGAUUGGUUGAGAUUUGGAGAGGCAUUGAUGUUUUCGGGUGAUGAUGGGAUGGCAGGCUCUUGGAGUGGAUGAAAUUUGGAAUCUGGAUUGUGUUUUGUAUGUGAUUCUGAUGGAUUUUUGUUUGUAGGCAUUGUUGAAUCUGUGAAUAUGAUAUGUGUGUGAUGUUUCUUCGUUUAUGGCAUUCAGUGGGAUACUGGAU
rnacentral:lncRNA from 1 species